CCUAAUAUUGACUGUACAGGAACGUAGAGACCUCGUUGGAUGGAGUGCAUUAUCAGUGUAAGUCGAGAUGCAGAGAUGAUGGCCAACGUGAGGUCACCAUUCAGUUGAUAGAUUAUCUUCUAAAGCUUUGGGUUUAGUAUCUUCCUUUGAAACCAACAGUGAUUGAUUAUUUAAUGGCAGAGUGUGUGAGCACUGGUUAACUCUCUCCUCUUAGUCACAGGUGGCCUUGGUUCAUAGAUUUUCUUGCUCUUUGGUCUAUUUGACUCUAAAAGAAAACAGACAUUACUAAAGAGCAUCAUGCUGUGUUGAAGAAGACAAAUCUUAGGUUAAGAACAUAAACUCAUGAAGAAAUGUAAAGUGAGGUGAUACAUGCUGUAACGGUCAGAGAGAUUACAAGUUUGACUUUCUCCUGUUUGUUUGCAGAUAAAGAAUUGUGUCAGGAACCUUUCAGUCAAACAGCACACAGAACAGCUGAAACCAACAUCACAUGUGAAUACCCAAACCAUGAAGACGACUCGGAUGUCAAGUUCUUCUGCAAAGAGAUCGGUCCUUUCUGUGAGGAUAUUUUAUCUACAGGAUCCUCCGUGAGGUCAAACGAGACGUUCACUCUCACAGAGACCGACAGAGGGUUCAGCGUGUCCAUCAGUAACGUGUCCUCACAGCAUAAAGGCGUCUACUGGUGCGGACUGAAAUCUGACAGAGGAGAUUAUCGAGCUGGAGUCAGAAAAAUCAAUCUGAUUGUGGAAAAUGUCUCUCAGUCACCAGUAAUCAUUCCUGUGGUCGUCUGUGCAGCCGCGGUGUUGCUCUUGCUUCUUUUGGUUCUCUUCUACAAAUGGUUUGGGCGUUCAAAACAAACAACUAAUGAGGAAGCAGAAAACCCCAAAGAGGAUCGAGCCUACGAUGAGAUCCAGGAGCGCCCCCAGAAUCCAGACCCAGGAAGUGCUCUUCGUACCGUCUAUGCCACUGCCAACCUUCCCACAAUCCCC